CAGAAAGGCAUCUUUUUGUUUUUAAAAGACCUUCUUCGGAGGGUAUGCUUAAAGAGGGGCUUGCGCCACAUUAGUUAGUUGGUGAGGUAAAGGCUUACCAAGAUUAUGAUGUGUAGCUGGACUGAGAGGUUGAACAGCCACAUUGGGACUGAGACACGGCCCAAACUCCUACGGGAGGCAGCAGUAGGGAAUUUUCGGCAAUGGAGGAAACUCUGACCGAGCGACGCCGCGUGAACGAUGAAGUAUUUCGGUAUGUAAAGUUCUUUUAUUGAAGAAGAAAAAAUAGUGGAAAAACUAUCUUGACGUUAUUCAAUGAAUAAGCCCCGGCUAACUAUGUGCCAGCAGCCGCGGUAAGACAUAGGGGGCGAGCGUUAUCCGGAAUUAUUGGGCGUAAAGGGUGCGUAGGCGGUUAGAUAAGUCUAUAAUUUAAUUUCAGUGCUUAACGCUGUCUUGUUAUAGAAACUGUCUUGACUAGAGUGAGAUAGAGGCAAGCGGAAUUCCAUGUGUAGCGGUAAAAUGUGUAAAUAUAUGGAGGAACACCAGAAGCGUAGGCGGCUUGCUGGGUCUUUACUGACGCUGAGGCACGAAAGCGUGGGGAGCAAACAGGAUUAGAUACCCUGGUAGUCCACGCUGUAAACGAUGAGUACUAAGUGUCGGGGAAACUCGGUACUGAAGUUAACACAUUAAGUACUCCGCCUGAGUAGUACGUACGCAAGUAUGAAACUUAAAGGAAUUGACGGGACUCCGCACAAGCGGUGGAUCAUGUUGUUUAAUUCGAAGAUACACGAAAAACCUUACCAGGUCUUGACAUACUCUGCAAAGCUAUAGAAAUAUAGUGGAGGUUAUCAGGGAUACAGGUGGUGCAUGGUUGUCGUCAGUUCGUGUCGUGAGAUGUUAGGUUAAGUCCUAAAACGAACGCAACCCCUGUCGCUAGUUGCCAGCACGUAAUGGUGGGGACUUUAGCGAGACUGCCAAUUAAACAUUGGAGGAAGGUGGGGAUAACGUCAAAUCAUCAUGCCCCUUAUGAUCUGGGCUACAAACGUGAUACAAUGGCUAUUACAAAGAGUAGCUGAAACGCGAGUUUUUAGCCAAUCUCAAAAAGGUAGUCUCAGUACGGAUUGAAGUCUGCAACUCGACUUCAUGAAGCUGGAAUCGCUAGUAAUCGCGAAUCAGCAUGUCGCGGUGAA
rnacentral:rRNA from 1 species